GGGAUAACCCGAGGAAACUCAGGCUAAUACCGCAUGACCUCUACGGAGUAAAGUGGGGGAUCUUUUGACCUCGCGCUAUAAGAUGAGCCUAUGUCGGAUUAGCUUGUUGGUAGGGUAAUUGCCUACCAAGGCAACGAUCCGUAGCUGAUCUGAGAGGAUGAUCAGCCACACUGGGACUGAGACACGGCCCAGACUCCUACGGGAGGCAGCAGUGGGGAAUCUUGGACAAUGGGGGAAACCCUGAUCCAGCAAUGCCGCGUGUGUGAAGAAGGCCUUAGGGUUGUAAAGCACUUUCAGUGGGGAAGAAGUUCUCAAAAGUAAUAUGCUUGAGAACCGACGUUACCUACAGAAGAAGCACUGGCUAACUCUGUGCCAGCAGCCGCGGUAAUACAGAGAGUGCAAGCGUUAAUCGGAAUUACUGGGCGUAAAGCGCACGUAGGUGGAUAUUUAAGUCGGAUGUGAAAGCCCCAAGGCUUAACCUGGGAAUUGCAUCCGAUACUGGAUGUCUCGAGUAUGGUAGAGGGAAGUGGAAUUUCCGGUGUAGCGGUGAAAUGCGUAGAUAUCGGAAAGAACACCAGUGGCGAAGGCGGCUUCCUGGACCAAUACUGACACUGAGGUGCGAAAGCGUGGGGAGCAAACAGGAUUAGAGACCCUGGUAGUCCACGCCGUCAACGAUGAGAACUAGCUGUUGGAAAGUAAACUUUCCAGUAGCGAAGCUAACGCGUUAAGUUCUCCGCCUGGGGAGUACGGCCGCAAGGUUAAAACUCAAAGAAAUUGACGGGGGCCCGCACAAGCGGUGGAGCAUGUGGUUUAAUUCGAUGCAACGCGAAAAACCUUACCUACCCUUGACAUCCUCGGAACUUGUCAGAAAUGACUUGGUGCCUUCGGGAACCGAGUGACAGGUGCUGCAUGGCUGUCGUCAGCUCGUGUCGUGAGAUGUUGGGUUAAGUCCCGUAACGAGCGCAACCCUUGUCCUUAGUUGCCAGCGGGUUCAGCCGGGAACUCUAAGGAGACUGCCGGUGAUAAACCGGAGGAAGGUGGGGAUGAUGUCAAGUCAUCAUGGCCCUUAAGGGUAGGGCUACACACGUGCUACAAUGGGCAGUACAGAGGGUUGCCAAACCAUGAGGUGGAGCCAAUCCCAGAAAGCUGCUCGUAGUCCGGAUUGAAGUCUGCAACUCGACUUCAUGAAGUUGGAAUCGCUAGUAAUCGCGAAUCAGAAUGUCGCGGUGAAUACGUUCUCGGGCCUUGUACACACCGCCCGUCACACCAUGGGAGUG
rnacentral:rRNA from 1 species